CCCCUGUGACAUACCUAUACGUUGCCUCGGCGGAUCAGCCCGCGCCCCGUAAAAAGGGACGGCCCGCCCGAGGACCCCUAAACUCUGUUUUUAGUGGAACUUCUGAGUAAAACAAACAAAUAAAUCAAAACUUUCAACAACGGAUCUCUUGGUUCUGGCAUCGAUGAAGAACGCAGCAAAAUGCGAUAAGUAAUGUGAAUUGCAGAAUUCAGUGAAUCAUCGAAUCUUUGAACGCACAUUGCGCCCGCCAGUAUUCUGGCGGGCAUGCCUGUUCGAGCGUCAUUUCAACCCUCAAGCUCAGCUUGGUGUUGGGACUCGCGGUAACCCGCGUUCCCCAAAUCGAUUGGCGGUCACGUCGAGCUUCCAUAGCGUAGUAAUCAUACACCUCGUUACUGGUAAUCGUCGCGGCCACGCCGUAAAACCCCAACUUCUGAAUGUUGACCUCGGAUCAGGUAGGAAUACCCGCUGAACUUAAGCAUAUCAAUAAGCGGAGGAA
rnacentral:rRNA from 1 species